rnacentral:lncRNA from 1 species
ACCGGUUAUAAUUUUUCUCAGGGUUACAAUUUUAUUCAUCACCCUCUUGGCUAUGUAUUAUUUAUAAACUUUUCAGUCUGUAUUACAUGGUCAUGAAAUUUUUUUCUUUAUUUCAGAGGGUAUAUAAACAUGUGAUAUUAUUCAAGACCAGUGACCUGUUUUUAUUUGUGGUAUUGACACUGCUUCGACAACAGAAAUAGUACAUACAUGUACAUAAAAAAAACUUUAUUGCUGUACAAAGGAUGCCUAAUUUAGCCUUAUUCCAUAGAAAUAUUUUCAUAGUUUAUUUUUGUUUAUUCGCGGAUAAAUUUAUGUAUUUCAUGAUAUUUUCACUUAAUACUUAUACUGUAUUAGAAUGGAUAAAUGAUCAUUCGAUGAACUUGAAUAAUUUUUUUUUUAUUUAAUGGUUGAUUAACCAUUUUAAUCAGAUUUGGUAAAUACUUAUGAAAGGACAAAAGUGAAUAAGUAUACAUAUCCUACACAGCACUAUUAGAAAGUAAAGCGAAAACAGUCUUAAAAAUGAAGCCAAUACUUUACUUUAAAUAUCUAAAGUAAAAGAAGGGGCUAUGAUUGCAAAUGAAAACUUAGCAGCUAGAGCACAAAAAACGUACAAACAAUUGAAAACUUCUGGCAUGGUUUUCCAUACCUAGAGUUUAAUGAGACGAGAUAGUUAGUCUUGUGCUCAACCCCUUUACCUGCAGGCCAAGUGAAUUUAUAGUUAAGGUUCUAUUCAUUUAGAUCACAAGCUAAGAUCCCUCGAAUUGGUUUCCGUGUUCAACUUGUGUCUCCUAAAUGGAUUGCCUUUCUGAUCAUGAGCUAUCGACCCCUAUCUGAACGACUAUUUACCAAUAGCUCGAACAAGGUUAACUUAAUGAGUGCUAGAGCAUAUCCACACGCCCUUGUUUCUCCUGGAUAUUCUAGUCUUGCAUAAUCUGUCAUGAUGUCCUUGAUAUAUGAUUGCUGCUCACCUUUUUGCUCAGAUUUGGACUGGCAUGACCAUCAAGAUUAUUGCCACAUGCGAGUAUAAUCUACUUACCAGUAUGGAGCACUUGAGAGCAACAUUGUUUUUUUCUGGGAUUCGUGUCAGUCAAUCUGUACUUUUCAAUCUUUUGUUUGUAUACCGAAAUUGAUCUUAUUUUUUAUUUUGCCAUGUUGUUGUCCAUUUAUUUUUGAAUUAUGAACUUUAAUGUUCUUUGGUAAUGUUCGCCCCUCUUUUAAACAUGAAUUUAUAAGAUAUGCGAAUAUGACAAGCUAUAUAAUCGUCGCGAGUCUAAAGGGUAAAGGAUGAAUAAUAUAGGAACAUCAAAACAAAACGCUGAAAU